GCAUCGGUAGUUCAGUUGUAAAAUACUCGUCUGCCACGCGGGCGGCCCGAGUUCGAUUCCCGGCCGAUGCA
rnacentral:tRNA from 1 species